GUGCUCGCUUCGGCAUCACAUAUACUAAAAUUGGAACGAUACAGAGAAGAUUAGCUGGCUCCUGUGCAAGGAUGACACGCAAAUUUGUGAAGUGUUCCAUAUUUUU
ensembl:snRNA U6 U6 spliceosomal RNA